AAGCAGGAAACUUACAGUAUUAUGGUUUCGGCCCAUAACUAGGUGCAUCUCGCACCCUUGCUUU
rnacentral:tRNA from 1 species